CGCCCUUAUGGUUUGAUCCUGGCUCAGGAUGAACGCUAGCGGCAGGCUUAACACAUGCAAGUCGAGGGGUAACGAUAGUGCUUGCACUAGGCGACGACCGGCGCACGGGUGAGUAACGCGUAUGCAACCUACCCAUAACUGGGGGAUAGCUUUCGGAAACGAAAAUUAAUACCCCAUAGUAUUAUAAUAUCGCAUGAUAUAAUAAUUAAAGUUUCGACGGUUAUGGAUGGGCAUGCGUGCCAUUAGCUAGUUGGUGAGGUAACGGCUCACCAAGGCAACGAUGGCUAGGGGUUCUAAAAGGAAGGUCCCCCACACUGGUACUGAGACACGGACCAGACUCCUACGGGAGGCAGCAGUGAGGAAUAUUGGUCAAUGGGCGCAAGCCUGAACCAGCCAUGCCGCGUGCAGGAUGACAGCCCUACGGGUUGUAAACUGCUUUUAUAUGGGAAGAAAAUGAUCUACGUGUAGAUAACUGACGGUACCAUAAGAAUAAGCAUCGGCUAACUCCGUGCCAGCAGCCGCGGUAAUACGGAGGGUCCAAGCGUUAUCCGGAUUCAUUGGGUUUAAAGGGUCCGCAGGCGGGAAAAUAAGUCAGUGGUGAAAGCCUGCAGCUUAACUGUAGAACUGCCAUUGAAACUGUUUUUCUUGAGUCUAGAUGAAGUGGGCGGAAUGUGUCAUGUAGCGGUGAAAUGCAUAGAUAUGACACAGAACACCGAUUGCGAAGGCAGCUCACUAAACUAGUACUGACGCUGAUGGACGAAAGCGUGGGGAGCGAACAGGAUUAGAUACCCUGGUAGUCCACGCCGUAAACUAUGAUUACUCGGUGUAGGCGACAUACUGUCUGCGCCCAAGCGAAAGUGAUAAGUAAUCCACCUGGGGAGUACGAUCGCAAGGUUGAAACUCAAAGGAAUUGACGGGGGCCCGCACAAGCGGUGGAGCAUGUGGUUUAAUUCGAUGAUACGCGAGGAACCUUACCUGGGCUUAAAUGCAUAAUGACCGUCUCGGAAACGAGACUUUCUUCGGACACGGUCUGCAAGGUGCUGCAUGGUUGUCGUCAGCUCGUGCUGUGAGGUGUCGGGUUAAGUCCCAUAACGAGCGCAACCCCUAUUCUUAGUUGCCAGCGGAUAAUGCCGGGGACUCUAAGAAAACUGCCCGUGCAAACGGUGAGGAAGGUGGGGAUGACGUCAAAUCAGCACGGCCCUUAUGUCCAGGGCUACACACGUGCUACAAUGGUAGAUACAAAGGGCAGCUACUUGGUGACAAGAUGCUAAUCUCUAAAGUCUAUCUCAGUUCGGAUUGAAGUCUGCAAUUCGACUUCAUGAAGUUGGAUUCGCUAGUAAUCGUAUAUCAGCCAUGAUACGGUGAAUACGUUCCCGGGCCUUGUACACACCGCCCGUCAAGCCAUGGAAGUUUGGGGUGCCUAAAGUCCGUAACCGUAAGGAGCGGCCUAGGGUAAAACUGGUAACUGGGGCUAAGUCGUAACAAGGUAGCCG
rnacentral:rRNA from 1 species